rfam:Triticum aestivum genome assembly, contig: Triticum_aestivum_CS42_TGACv1_scaffold_195920_3AL
UAUAUACUCCCUCCGUCCGGAAAUACUUGUCAUCAAAAUGGAUAAAAGGGAUGUAUCUAGAUGUAUUUUAGUUUUAGAUACAUCCCUUUUUGUCCAUUUUGAUGACAAGUAUUUUCGGACGGAGGGAGUAUAAU